GCCGGGCGUGGUGGCGGGCGCCUGUAGUCCCAGCUACUGGGGAGGCUGAGGCAGGAGAAUCGCUUGAACCCAGGAGGCGGAGGUUGCAGUGAGCCGAGAUCACGCCACUGCAUUCCAGCCUGGGUGACACAGCAAGACUCUGCCUCAA
rnacentral:SRP_RNA from 2 species